rnacentral:rRNA from 1 species
CCUGGUUGAUCCUGCCAGUAGUCAUAUGCUUGUCUCAAAGAUUAAGCCAUGCAUGUCUAAGUACAUGCCGUAUUAAGGCGAAACCGCGAAUGGCUCAUUAAAUCAGUUAUGGUUCCUUGGAUCGUACCUUACUACUUGGAUAACUGUGGCAAUUCUAGAGCUAAUACAUGCAGCAGAGCUCCGACCUUCGGGGACGAGCGCUUUUAUUAGACCAAAACCAAUCGGGCCUCGUGUCCGUUCUACGUGGUGACUCUGUAUAACUUUGGGCUGAUCGCACGGGCUCGUCCCGGCGACGUAUCUUUCAAGUGUCUGCCUUAUCAACUGUCGAUGGUAGGUUACGCGCCUACCAUGGUCGUAACGGGUAACGGGGAAUCAGGGUUCGAUUCCGGAGAGGGAGCCUGAGAAACGGCUACCACAUCCAAGGAAGGCAGCAGGCGCGCAAAUUACCCACUCCCGGCUCGGGGAGGUAGUGACGAAAAAUAACAAUACGGGACUCUUUUGAGACCCCGUAAUUGGAAUGAGUACACUCUAAAUCCUUUAACGAGGAUCCAUUGGAGGGAAAGUCUGGUGCCAGCCGCCGCGGUAACUCCAGCUCCAAUAGCGUAUAUUAAAGUUGUUGCGGUUAAAAAGCUCGUAGUUGGAUCUCAGUUCCAGACGGGUGGUCCGCCUACCGGUGGUCACUGCCUGUUCUGAGCAUUGCCGCCGAAAUUGUCCGAUGAUCUUUACCGGUUGUCGUUCGGUUUCGGCAAUUUUACUUUGAAAAAAUUAGAGUGCUCAAAGCAUGCGUGACGCAUGAAUAAUGGUGCAUGGAAUAAUGGAAUAGGACCUCGGUUCUAUUUUGUUGGUUUUCGGAACACGAGGUAAUGAUUAAGAGGGACAGACGGGGGCAUUCGUAUUGCGACGCUAGAGGUGAAAUUCUUGGACCGUCGCAAGACGAACUACUGCGAAAGCAUUUGCCAAGAAUGUUUCCAUUAAUCAAGAACGAAAGUUAGAGGUUCGAAGGCGAUCAGAUACCGCCCUAGUUCUAACCAUAAACGAUGCCAAC